CUAUUGCUUAAAUGUAAACGCAACCUAAAAGUUUAUUUUGUCUGUGCUCGGUGUGACAUAUGUAAUGUCAAAUAGACGUCAGCCCUUUAACUUCCUGUUCUCUGCUAAUGGUCAUUGGUAGUGUACGUACUUGUCUUGUUUGUUAUCGCUCAUAGUAUUAAAAAUCAAGUGUAAUCUCAUCGCAGUGUUUUUAUUCCUAUCAUUUUUCCUAACAUGGUAGCAGUCCGUGGUUGGGAGAAUAGGAAAAAAUAUUUAUUUCGGCGAGAUUACGCGUACCAAUUUUUCAUCACGCACGCGUUACUUCGUUGCUUCGGUGAACAACAUGGCGUCCCCGCUUGCACAAGGUAUGGAGAAACUAAAAGGGGCAGAAAACUACUCCACUUGGAAGUUUACUAUGCGCAUGCUAUUAAUUCACGAGGAAUUGUGGGACUUCGUUGAAACCAAUAACGAAAGCGACAAAAAUAAAGGUGAGAAAGCGUUGGCGAGGAUCGCGCUCUCUGUGGCACCGACGGUAAUACCGUACAUCCGUUCUGCCAAAACCGCGUUUGAGGCGUGGAACAUACUGAAAAAGGCUUAUGAAGGACGUGGUCUGAGCAGAAGAUUGGGCCUGCUGCGGAGUCUUUUCAGCACCAAGUUGAGUGAAAAUCCCUCGAUGGAGUCAUACCUACACAAAAUUAAGGAGAUUUCUCACCAACUGGAGGAAAUAGAAUCACCUCUGGAUGAUGAAUUUGUUGCAGUGAUAAUGUUGAGUGGACUCACAGAAGACUACGACCCGCUCAUCAUGGCAAUUGAGAAUUCUAGUUCCAAGUUGACGACCGAUACCAUCUCCUCUAAACUAUUACAAGAGGUACAAAGGCGUGAAGACAAGAACGAAGGUGGUACAGCCUUAGUCACCACACACACACAGAAACAAUUCAAAUGUUUUAAGUGCAACGGCAAAGGACACCUUUCUCGGAACUGUCCGGAGAGAAAGAUUGCAACUGCAAGCAACUACAGUAGCAGCCUGGGAACGAGGCAUCCACCGAGGAGCUCGCAGAAGAAGGUUCCUGUUAAAAACAAGGCGCUCGUGACGGCUCUCUCUGUGAAUGUGAAUAGUAACAAGUGGUACAUUGAUUCCGGAGCCACUAAUCAUAUGUGUAACAGUGCAAAAGUGAUGGUAGGAUGUGAUCCGAAAAAAACAGUGGAUGUGUGCAUUGCAAACGGUACAAAGCUAUCCACUGCGGGGUUAGGUCAAGUAAAAGUGCAGCUGAAAGACUGUGUAAGGACAAUAAGUGAUACUUAUUAUGUUCCUAAUUUAAGUACUAAUUUGUUGUCAGUCAGUGCCAUGACCAAAAAAGGUUAUAUUGUUACUUUUGAUAGUACAUCAUGUACUAUCUAUGAUAAUAACGAGAUUUUAGCUACAGGUACCCAUGUCAAUGGUGUCUAUCAGCUAGAUACUGUGUCUGAUAGUGUUUGUACUGCAGAGGAACAGGAGUGCAGUAUGAUGGCAUCAGCUGCGGCAGACUUGAAAUCCCAGGAAGUGUGGCACAAGCGGCUCGGUCACCUUAAUCUAAGAAGUAUGCAACUUUUGCAAAAAGGUAUGGCAAUUGGCGUUCAUUUUAAUACUUCUGAUUUUCAGCAAUGUGUGUCUUGUGUUGAAGGAAAGCAAAGUAGACUCCCUUUUCCUAAGAAAUCAAGUAGUAGAGCGACAGAAGUGCUGGGUUUAAUACAUACAGACUUAUGUGGUCCCAUACAGGUUCCCUCUAUAAGUGGUGCUAGGUACAUACUUAGUUUCAUCGAUGACUACACAAGAAAGCAGUUUGUCUAUUUUUUGAAAUCAAAAAAUGAAACUUUUGCUAAUUUCAAAAAAUUCAAAGCCCUUGUGGAGAAUGAAACUGGGAAGAAGUUAAAAGUUCUUAGAAGUGAUAGAGGCGGAGAAUAUAUGAGUUCUAAAUUUAAGGAAUACCUAAAGACCUGCGGGAUCAAACACCAGAAGACCAUCCCCGACUGCCCACAACAAAAUGGCGUCGCGGAACGGGCCAAUAGGACGGUGAUGGAGAAGGUUAGAUGCAUGCUGCGUGACGCUGGACUGGAAAAGAAAUUCUGGGCAGAGGCAGUGAACACAGCAGUCUACUUAAAGAACCGCAGUCCUACCAAGGCCGUUCCUGGUGAAACCCCCGAGGAGAAGUGGACAAACAAGAAGGAGAUGACACGCUGGCUCAAGCAGAGCAGGAAGACACCUCCUACGAAGAAGCUGAUGGGUCCUGCCUAAUUGCUAAUUUUGUGGCACUGGCUGAUGGUUACCCUGAUGAUCCGCAGACUGCAACCGAAGCACUGAAGGGACCGGAUUCAGACAGUUGGCGGAGGGCAAUGACAGAUGAGUAUAAUUCAUUCAUUAAGAACAAAUGUUGGACUUUGACAAAACGUAAACCUGGCCAUAAGCCCGUUCAAUGUAAAUGGAUUUUUAAAAGGAAAUAUGGUGCUAAUGGUGAGCUCAUAAAAUUUAAAGCUCGUUUGGUUGCCAAAGGUUAUACCCAGAAAUAUGGUAUAGAUUACCAGGAUACUUUUUCACCUGUAGUAAGGUACUCCACAAUAAGAAUGCUUCUUGCUCUAGCAGCAGAAUACAACUUGGAUUUGGAACAUCUUGAUGUGAAAACUGCUUUUCUCAAUGGAGAUCUUGAGGAAACAGUAUACAUGGAGCAACCAGAGUGUUUCAAGGUUAAAGGGAGCGAAGAUAUGGUAUAUAAGCUCGACAAGGCUGUGUACGGCCUUAAACAAGCUUCCAAGUCUUGGUACGAUAAAAUUACUUAGGUGCUCUGUGACAAAUUAAAGUUCUGCCGCUUGACUUCUGAGCCAUGCGUAUUCUUUAAGUGUGAAAAUGGAUCAAUGAUGAUCAUAGCGUUGUAUGUGGACGAGUUGAUUGUAUUUUCAUCACCAGAUUUUCAAGGAAAGGAUAAAAUAAAGAAGGAACUACAGGAGGAAUUCGAAAUCACUGAUCUAGGGCCAGCUCAGCAUGUACUUGGCAUGAAGCUGAUGAGGGAAGAUAACAAAAUUUACCUAAAUCAGUCGAACUACAUCCAGAAGGUACUGAAAAAGUUUCGCAUGGAGGACUGCAAACCAGCUGCAACACCCAUGGAGACAGGUCUUAAACUUACCAAAGAACCCAAGCAGUACGAGACCUACGACUACAGAGGUUUGAUUGGUUCUUUGAUGUAUGUGGCAGUUUGCACCAGACCUGACAUCAGUCAUGCAGUUAGCUACCUCAGUCAAUUCAAUGAUUGUUUCGGCGAAACUCACUGGAAAGCUGCCAAAAGAAUACUACGUUAUUUGAAAGGUACAAUUAAUUUUAACCUUGUAUUUUCCAAAUCAGGUUUGAACAUUUCAGCCUACGCAGAUGCUGACUGGGCGUCAGACAACAUCGACCGUAAAUCGUUUACUGGCUUCAUUUUUACCGUGGGCAAGUCCGUUGUUGCUUGGGAGAGCCGCAAGCAGCGCACUGUUGCUCUGUCAAGCACUGAAGCAGAGUACAUGCCGUUGUCAGACACAUGUAAGGAAGCUUUAUUUAUUAGAAAAUUUUUAUUUGAAGUUUUUGGUACCAUGGCUAAAAUCACGAUUUAUAAUGACAAUCAAUCUGCUAUUAAGUUAUGUAAAAGUUUUGUAUUUCAUUCCAGAACAAAGCACAUUGAUAUACGUCAUCAUUUUAUUAAAGAAAUUGUUAAUAAAGGUGUUGUUGAAAUAAAAUACUUGUCAACUGCAAA